AUACAGAGGGUGCGAGCGUUAAUCGGAAUUACUGGGCGUAAAGCGCGCGUAGGCGGCUUAUUAAGUCAGAUGUGAAAUCCCCGGGCUCAACCUGGGAACUGCAUCUGAUACUGGUAAGCUAGAGUUUGGGAGAGGGAAGUAGAAUUUCAGGUGUAGCGGUGAAAUGCAUAGAGAUCUGAAGGGAUACCAGUGGCGAAGGCGACUUCCUGGCCUAAAACUGACGCUGAGGUGCGAAAGCGUGGGUAGCAAACGGGAUUAGAAACCCCAGUAGUCC
rnacentral:rRNA from 1 species